GACGAACGCUGGCGGCGUGCUCAACACAUGCAAGUCGAACGGAAAGGCCCUGCUUUUGUGGGGUGCUCGAGUGGCGAACGGGUGAGUAACACGUGAGUAACCUGCCCUUGACUUUGGGAUAACUUCAGGAAACUGGGGCUAAUACCGGAUAGGAGCUCCUGCUGCAUGGUGGGGGUUGGAAAGUUUCGGCGGUUGGGGAUGGACUCGCGGCUUAUCAGCUUGUUGGUGGGGUAGUGGCUUACCAAGGCUUUGACGGGUAGCCGGCCUGAGAGGGUGACCGGCCACAUUGGGACUGAGAUACGUCCCAGACUCCUACGGGAGGCAGCAGUGGGGAAUAUUGCACAAUGGGCGGAAGCCUGAUGCAGCAACGCCGCGUGCGGGAUGACGGCCUUCGGGUUGUAAACCGCUUUCGCCUGUGACGAAGCGUGAGUGACGGUAAUGGGUAAAGAAGCACCGGCUAACUACGUG
rnacentral:rRNA from 1 species